GUGAGUCUGCCGGCCCCUCCCCGCCCCGCCCCGCCCCGCCUCCGCGCCAGGGGAGGGAGACAUCGGAGGCAGCAGAGAGGGCGGCCAAAACUGAACGUCGUCUCCUUACAACAUGACGGGUUCGCCCGACAUUCUGACGUCAGUCCCAGGAAGUCAACGUUCUUGUUGGCGCUCGGCGGAUGAUGUCUCCGAACGUCUAUGCUGUGAAUAUUUUCCUCAUAUAUAAUCAAGAGCACGGCCGAAGAGGACAUGUCAAGAACUGCCAGAUGAGUUGAAGGGUUGUCAAAAUAUAAACUUUAUCAGGGUCGUUCCCACGCACAACACACUGGUGGCAGCGCUGCUUCCCCUCUCCGGUGCCCGCCUACUGAACUGCUGUGACGUGUGGGAGAGGUUCAGAGGCUAAGGGUCAUCAGGUGCAACAGCUCCGUCCCUGCUCGCCGUGUCGUUCUCGUGGCGUCGGCGGCAGAACUAUCAUCGGAACAACAAAACCAAGAAAAGACAGUUCGAUUUUCUUCUUAGUAUAGUCGAUCCCACGUACAGAGGCUGCCAAGAGGGAUCGGAAACGCUAACUCCAACCGCAACGUGCCUUGAUGAUGUCCAGUUUGAGGUGGUCUGCGUCGAGACUGAAGAUGGUUAACCUGAUGACCCAUACGUGUUAACGAUGCAGACGGGGAUACAUUGACGCAGUUUUGAUGCUGCUCUGAAGAACGAAGGGAGAACAGAAGAAAGGAAGGAAGGCCAUCUUGGAAGACUCAAGAACCAGUCACCCCAGUCCAAGGAAAGGUCACAAGAGGUCAAGGAGGUCACAGUACGAAGGAGCAGUCCAGUCAAGUCAAGUUAUUGAAAAGGGAAGGGAAGGGAUAGGAAAGGAUAGGGAAGGGAAGGAAAUGAAAGGAAAGGGAAGGGAAGGGAAGGAACAGAGAAGUGUAUAUAUAGUUAAGCUUAAAGUCACAUACAGUUAGAUACAUACAGUUACACUCACAUAGAUUUACAUACAGUUUCGGUGGUGCGUUUGACAAAGGCGUUUGACUCAGUGGGUAGCGGAUUGGCCCGGCCCACGGUGUUAUGGACUCGCUCAACACAAGUACAGUAAACCCUCGAUAUAACGGACUAAUUUUCAUUUCUAUUUAUUCAUUUAUUUUUUUCACAUCAGAGGACACGUCUCAAGGGCAGUAAGGAGUACAAAAAAAAAAAAAGCCCGCUACUCGCCGCUCCUAUAAAAGAUAAAAGUAAAGAGUAGCCAAAAGAGAGGUCAAUUUCGGGUGGAGAGGUGUCUUGAUACACACUCAAUUUUGGGGGAACUUAGUCCGUUAGGGCCGAAAGUCCAUUAUAAGCAGCAAAGAUUUAAAAAAAACGUAAAAUAAUAAAACGAUGGAGCUAGUAAACGUAGGUAUAUAUAUUUUUUAUUGUGUAUGUUGUGUGCACGUUGUCUGCAUGGCCGCACAGUGCACUUGGCGACGCACUCCGAGGCACUGAGGUUGCUAGGUUGUGAGUGGGGUCUUGCGUGGGGGUCAUAUUGUUAUGGGUAUGGGUAGAAUUUUACAAGUGCAGCGAGUAGCAGGCUUAUUUUUUAUUAUUGUUUACUUUUUGUGUGCCCUUGAGCUGUCUCUUCUGUUGUAAAAAAAUAAAUAAAAAAUUGCGCCAAUCUCACACUGGCAGACGAAACUUUUUUUUGAAGUUUCUGGUGUGUUAUGAAAUAAUCUGCUAACUGUUUCUGUCACAUAAUUAAAUGAUUGCCUUUUCAAUGCCUGGUGUACACAGCACCUGUAAAAUAACUUGCAGAGAGAAAUGUUCAACUUGCUUACAGUUUCUAUAUUUCGCACCGGGUUCAAUUCCUGGGCGGAGUUGAAAAAUUUGGGCGGUUUUUCUGAUGCCCCUGUCCACCCAGCAGUGAAUGGGUACCAGGUAUUAAUCGAGGGUUGUGUCCCGUCUCCUGGGAUCUGUUCCCUUCUCCUAUAAUUCCUUCCCCUUCUGUCUCUCUCCGGCAUAUGACCACAGAUGUUGCGCCCACUAAACAAAACCCUUUAUAUUUCACUCACCACCCACAAAGAUCACAAGUGGAUAAACUAGAACAAAACCAGGCUAAUUAAUGUUUUUCCUGCCGUGUAUUCCCCCAGUGCGCAUGCGUGAUGGACACCAGAGUGACUUAUUUCUGCGAGGAGGUAUUUCUCAGAACACGCACGCUGCCGCCAUGUCCCUUCCCGCGCUGUGUAUUCCCGCGCCCCACAACGCGUGCCCAAUAAAUUUACACUAAGCAAAAAUAACUUAACCUAACCUACCUAAGUGAGGGUCUAGCCCCCUCGACACUCUUUAAGCUGUGCCUGUACCAACACUCACAAAAACUUGGCUAUUUUCCAUUACAUUUACAUCCUGGAUUGAUGCAUAAGACUUUCCUGUGGUAUAAAUACGUUCUUCAUUUAAUUAUUUGUGACAGAAACAGUUAGCAGAUUAUUUCAUAACACACCGAAAACUAUCCCCCCCAAAAAAAAGGUUUCGUCUGCCAGUGCGAGAUUGGCGCACUUGUAAAAUUUUACCCAUACCUGUAACAACCCUGCAAGACCCACUGGCAACCUGGCAACCUCAGUGCCUCGGAGUCUGUCGCCAAGUGUGGCCGUACAGACAGCGUGCACACAACAUACACGAUAAAAAAUAUAUAUAUA